rnacentral:snRNA from 1 species
GGAUGUGAGAUCUGGCUGCAACAUAUGUCACCCCAUUGAUCUCCAGGGUUGAUUCCGCUGAUCUGGCUGGCUAGGCGGGUGUCCCCUUCUUCCCUCACCAUUCCAUGUGCUUCCCUCCCAAAGCUGUGCACUUAAUUGAAGAGGAAGGCCUUCCCCUAAUGGAGACAGACCGGUCUUUGGCUGAGGGUAUAUGAGUAGCUGUGCUCCCAUGCUAGAACCUCCAAACGAGCUCUAAAAUAGGCCUACUAACUAUCUAUAAAACAGACCCCAAAAUCUUCAUCUGCAAUAAUGCUGCCUUUAGGUUAAUGAU